UGCCUGUAAUCCCAGGACUUGGAAGCUGAGGCAGGAGGAUCACCACAAGUUCAAGACCAACCUGGGCAGAGUAAAAGGGGAAAAUAGGAGAAGAGAGGAAAAUUAACAUCUCUCCGUGGGCCCUGCUAAGUAGCUGGCCCAGGGCUGGGCACUGGGCAGAUCCUCUUAGCUGUUCUUCUUGGUGUCUCCAUUUUGCAUUUAGGAAACCGAGAGGCAAAGCUGUGAGGAACCCUGCCCCAGAUCUCACAUGUGUGAAAUGAGGGGUGGAGAAUGCUUUGAGGAUUCCAGUGGAGUUUUGAGGAUGUUCAUGUGUGGGUUAGAAAAUUCCAUGCUUGUCCAUUGAAAAUAGACAGAAAGCUAAGAACAGCUGUGAGGGUCCAGUUUGGAGAGAAGGCAUGGAAAGCGUUGCUGGGAGACAGGGUCAGCAGCCAGCCUGGUGUUCAGCCAGAAGGAGAGCCCCAGAAGGAUUGGGAAGGCCAGAGAGAGUGGAAAUUCCUUGGACUUGGAGGCCACCCCUGGGCAGCCUGUGUGAAAAUGGAGGAGGUUGAAGAGCAAGCCCUCAGCUGCCCUGGAGCCCUGCAGAAUCCUGGUCUGGACCAAGAAGUAGGAGUUUGAGAUCCAUUUCUGGAGAAGCAAAGGACAAAGGACUCUCCCCUGCGAGCCAGGAAGGGCCCAGCAAAGCAAGGGGGCUUGGGCAGCCCAGCCUUGUCCCUAUCCCCUGUAACAUCUCCUCUCUCAGCCGCCCACCACUAGGCAUGAUACAGCAGUCCUCAAAGUCACCCCUCUGGCCUCCUUUCCCUUUCUCCUGCCCUUCCCUGCUAUCUGCCCUGCCUGCUCCUCUCCCCUCCCCCGAAGAGCAAAUUCCUAUUCUGAACUGGAAGCUUUUCCCCAGGAAUCUGGGAGGCCUGGGGCCGAGAGGGGAAGAAAAGGCCUAAAGGAAGGAAGGUGGCAGAAGGAGGGCUAACCAGAGCCACCAUCCCAAUCCCACCAUUCAUCCUGUAGGAGAUGGAGAACCAGACAUCUCAGCUCCUCUGGGCCUUCAUUCCUUUGAUGGCCUCCAUUGCCUUUGAGAACUGGGAGGAGAGGGGAGUUGGUGCUCACUAAUUGCUAAGGUGCUUUCAAGCUCCGCGUUUGUUUCCUGGAGCCUGAAUCCUCCUCUGUCCCAUCUCACAGUUGAGGGGAGACCAGGAAAGAGGAAGGUGGGCUCCUGGUGAUGAAUGUGGUGGCUGGCUAGCAGCUGAGGAUGGCUGAAAGUGGGGACAGAUGAUGGGACUCCCAAAGUGCCAAGGACAGCAAAGGUCCAAAUUGCACUUGCAACUGUUCGUUAAACAAAUAGGAAGAAAUGGAGGCUGUGGUGCCAAUGGAAGACUGCUUAAAAUUCAAGCGUCUCACGUUGCACUCCAUUAUUCAGCCCUUCGUUUUCAUUCAUUCAUCUGCCUACACCACAAACAGUCCAGGAGCCACUGUUGCGUGGCUGACACUGUCCUGAGUGAUGAGAAUAUAGUCAUGAAUACAUUCACAGCCUCGUGGGAGUUGACAAAAGACAUAAUCAGAUGAUUCUCAGACUGCCUGAGAAGUGCUGGGACAGCAGUUACAGUGGGUGCCGCGGGAGUACCAAGUGCUGCUGGGGGUGGGAGGGCAUGGAGGAGGGCCCACACCCAGCCAAACAGGGC
ensembl:lncRNA